UACGUAGGGUGCGAGCGUUGUCCGGAAUUAUUGGGCGUAAAGAGCUUGUAGGCGGUUUGUCGCGUCUGCUGUGAAAUUUCGGGGCUCAACCCCGAACUUGCAGUGGGUACGGGCAGACUAGAGUGUGGUAGGGGAGACUGGAAUUCCUGGUGUAGCGGUGAAAUGCGCAGAUAUCAGGAGGAAGACCGAUGGCGAAGGCAGGUCUCUGGGCCACUACUGACGCUGAGAAGCGAAAGCAUGGGGAGCGAACAGG
rnacentral:rRNA from 1 species